UACAGAGGUCCCGAGCGUUGUUCGGAUUCAUUGGGCGUAAAGGGUGCGUAGGCGGCGGGGCAAGUCUGAUGUGAAAUCCCGGGGCUCAACCCCGGAACUGCAUUGGAUACUGCCUUGCUUGAGUACUGGAGAGGGAACUGGAAUUUACGGUGUAGCAGUGAAAUGCGUAGAGAUCGUAAGGAAGGCCAGUGGCGAAGGCGAGUUCCUGGACAGUGACUGACGCUGAGGCACGAAAGCUAGGGGAGCAAACAGG
rnacentral:rRNA from 1 species